UUACUUUUUAGUUUAAUAUUUAUUUAUGGUGUCAAAUCAAAUUAAAAUGACCAAAAUACCCUCACCCAACAUAAGAGAUUUAUUUUUUUAUUUUCUUUUCAUAGGCCCUAAUUUGUAAUUUUAGGGCUGCGUUUUUGGCACUUCCCAAAGGGAUUUUGUUGCAUUUUUGGCAGCCACGUUUUUGGAUUUGUCCAAAAACGUGGCUUUUUACUAUGUUCCCAAAAUGGCACAUAGUUUUUCUGAUUUUAGCCAAAUAACUAAAAAAUUACUAAAUUAGCCUGUUCCCAAACGAGGCCUAAGUUUAAAUAGAAAUUUUCUCCCCUCUUCUAGACGUGUGUUGUGCAUUGGGUCGCCCUUCUACAUGCGUGCAUGUUAGACAAGUUAGCAGUUUGGCUCUGAAGUAAAAUCAUAAAUGUAUCUUUAGAGCAGUGAUGGAAAGAAAGGUGUUACAUACCUGCACCACAUGAAAAUAAUCUCAUUUAAUAAAUCCAUUUAUGGUGGGAUUUUUUAAUUUUCUUUCAAACCAACCCUUCAAAGUAGUAUGUGAUGACAAUAUUCUGGCAGUACUGUUCACACCUUAUUUUUUGUUUGAGGGUCAAAAACCUUAUGAAAAGCUAUGUAAUAUGGCCUCUUCUAAAUUUGUGAAGUAUCUGUGUCAAACUUGAUCCUUGGGUUAGGGUGUGAGAUGCAUCCAUCAUGCUAUUGCACAUGCACCCAACAUUUUACUAUGAAAUUAUGCAUAAAAUGCUCUAUGCUAGUCUGUGAAUAGCAUUAAUUUUUACCCUAAAUAAAUGAAAGAAAUAUGAAAUUUACCCAUGCCUUGGUCUCAUUGUGCAUGAGAAUUAGAUGAACUUGACACUUGGACACAUACUUGCAUCUGACCGUACCCAAGAUGAAUGUAAGAAGUGUGAUUUUUUUUUUAAUAUUUUACUUAUAAUUAUUUUUAUGUCCCUACUAGACAAAAACCCUAGAUCCGUCCUUAUUAGCUGUACCCAAGCCCAUGUAACAUAGAUGAUUAGUCUGGAGUAUCAGCUAUUAGGAGAAAAAAAAAGACCUAAUAAAAAGGGGAAAAAACUGUAGAGAUAUCCACCAAAGUGGACUAGAUUUUCCAGUUCCCACCAAAGUUUCCUUCCUCUCCUUUGCUUGGAGAUUACUCAAUGUCUCAUCUCUUUACAUUGAUGGAAGAUGGCUUUUUUACUUGGAUUUUUUCUGGUGUUUAUUAGCCAGUCUUGGGUGGAGAGAUGCCGACCAACAAGGAGAGGUGGUCAAAGCCAUGACAUGCGGAUGUGCUUUCUUUUUGUGUUUGCCCAUGCACGGCUGUAAAACAAGAGUGGUUUGUUAUGGACUAUAUGUUCAGAUUGAAAUUUAUUAUGGUAUAUCAUUUGAGAGAGACAAUAUUCCCUAAAAUAUUGACCUUAAACUAUGUUCAACAAUUCUCUCGACACAUUAAUCUAAGAAGUACGGAUACA